AUCCUUUUACAGUUCAUAAGCAUGAAGAUUGGGUGUUCACCCUGUUGUAUGACAUGUGCUUCCCUCAAACCUUGUAAUGACCUCGGCACAUUACCCAUCUGAUG